GAGUGAGAGCUAGAGUAGUAAGAGCCAAAGUGUUUAUAAACAUAGUGAGCCAAAGUGCUACACUAAAAAUUCCCUUUGUAAUAUUUUCAUUUCCAAAUUAAUAUAAGCCUCACUUUUCAAUUAACCAACCUCUCUCUGCGUAAUUUCAUUUUCCAUAAACCCAUCACACUUCCACAUUGCGCCAACAAUUCCAACCUACUGAAAAAUCAUUCAACAAAUAGACACCCUAAGUUAAGUUAAUCGAAGAAUCAAAAUAGCGAAAAUGGGUUCUGAUGCUGCCUUAUCCGUUACAGAGAGAAUAAGCUUCCGUUGAAGGAGAGAAUGCUAGGAGGGUUUCGUAGGAUUCGUAUACGCUCAGCAGAUGUUGGCGGCAGUAGCGGUGGAGUCGUCGUGCAGAUAGAGUAGAUGAUUGUGGCAGUGGAAAUGGUUGGGCUGAAAAUGGUGAGGCUUAAGAGUGACUUCUAUCAUCACUACCAUAGAAGCUAAAGGAGUGGUGUUGGUGCAGAUAACUGUGGGUAUCGCUGGAUACCAUUCUGUCCCUGGACACAAUCCAAGUUAGAAACGAGAGGCUGGAUGGAGCGGUUUCAGACUGGAAGAACCAAUGACCCUGGGAAAGUUUGUACGAUUGUCGAUUAGCGUACUAAACAUCUUUCCUGUAGAUCAGGUCGUGGAUUUUCUCCAUGUUGAUCCCGUCUGGCAUGCUGCAAGUGAUAUUUUCUGGCCGUACAUCAAAAAGCAUUUAGUGGGAGAUAUGUUUUGUGAGGUUCGUUAGAUUUGUAAUUUGUUGCAGUGUGGUUCUUCUAUAAUCAGGAUGAGCAAAUCUUGAAAUAUAAAUGUAGACAGUACCAGAAUUAUAGUUCCCGGUAAUGCUAUAAUGCUGGAUUCGCGAAGGCGGAUGAGCUGUCAGAGAUUCUGUUGUGCACUUUUCAGUUUCAGUUUCAACUACUCGAGGAUAGUGCACCAGACUUACCAUAUCAAGCUAAAAAUGGAGAAGAAAGUUGUAGGGAGGCAAAAGGACAAUGAGGCAGAUGUUGAUGAUGAAAGUACACAGUGGUGAAUGGUCAACAGAGAACUGUGACAAUGCUUCUGUGGCUGGUGAAUAUGUUCCAGGGAGAGAGUCCCGAAGUGAGUGUUCUCAGAAAAGAACCUUGGUUUCUGGCAAAAACUGAAAAGCUUGAUUUAUUUGGCAAAAAUAGAUGGGGAAAUCGGGUUACGGGUUCAAUCAAGGCUCAUGAUCCAAACGAACAGUAGAAAGUUACUUGUCUUUUGUUAAAUACGUGCAGGAAGCACACGCCAAAUUUACCAAUUGGUGAAAUAGUCGUUCACUUUUCUGAUUAAAUACCCUUUGUAGGUCCAGCCAUGACUUCUAUGUAUAGCUCUUAUACGAAUUCCAGUAACCUGUUUGAAUUAGGAAAGAGUCUACAGCAUCCCCAAUCCCUAAGGUAAUAAUUUAGUGUUAUAAUCUUGAAUAUUUCUUUUUUUUUUGAAGCAAAAAGGGUUCUGUGAAGGAAACUAGUGCAACUGUUAGUUUUUAAAACAGUGAAGAAUUUGGCACCAAGCCUCCUUGGCCUUAGUGGUGCAGUGUCUAGUUACUUACAUAAGGUCAUGGGUUCAAGGCUUCGUACUUAGAUUUAAAUGAGGAAAAAGGGUAUUCUAAAAUACCUUUU